AACGAACGCUGGCGGCAUGCCUAACACAUGCAAGUCGAACGGGAUCCGGACUUCGGUCCGGUGAGAGUGGCGGACGGGUGAGUAACACGUGGGAACCUGCCUUUUGGUUCGGGAUAACCGCGGGAAACUGCGGCUAAUACCGAAUGCUCCCGAGAGGGGAAAGAUUUAUCGCCAGAAGAGGGGCCCGCGUCCGAUUAGGUAGUUGGUGGGGUAAUGGCCUACCAAGCCGACGAUCGGUAGCUGGUCUGAGAGGAUGAUCAGCCACACUGGGACUGAGAUACGGCCCAGACUCCUACGGGAGGCAGCAGUAGGGAAUAUUGCGCAAUGGGGGGAACCCUGACGCAGCAACGCCACGUGUGGGAAGAAGCAUUUCGGUGUGUAAACCACUGUCGGAAAGGAAUAACGGAAGACUUCGGUCUUUAUGAAUGUACUUUUAGAGGAAGCACCGGCAAACUUCGUGCCAGCAGCCGCGGUAAGCAUACUCGUA
rnacentral:rRNA from 1 species